AUUGAACGCUGGCGGCAGGCUUAACACAUGCAAGUCGAGCGAGCGGCGGACGGGUGAGUAAUGUCUGGGAAACUGCCUGAUGGAGGGGGAUAACUACUGGAAACGGUAGCUAAUACCGCAUACCCUCAGAUGUGCCCAGAUGGGAUUAGCUAGUAGGUGGGGUAAUGGCUCACCUAGGCGACGAUCCCUAGCUGGGCGGAGAGGAUGACCAGCCACACUGGAACGGAGACACGGUCCGGACUCCUACGGGAGGAAGCAUUGGGGAAUAUUGCACAAUGGGGGAAAGCCGGAUGAAGCCAUGCCGCGUGGGUGAAGAAGGCCUUCGGGUUGUAAAGCACUUUCAGCGAGGAGGCGUUACUCGAAGAAGAAGCACCGGCUAACUCCGUGCCAGCCGCCGCGGUAAUUC
rnacentral:rRNA from 1 species